GCGAGGAGAGGUGGUUCGGAAGAGUUGGUGGGAAAAAGGAUGUGCUACCAAAGCUACUUUAAUUAUUAUAACACAAAUUGUUUCGUAUAUGAUAGUGUAUACACUCUGAUAUAUUGUAAAUACGUUGUUUAUCAUGGAUCAUUUGUGUAUGAUGAUUGAUACGCCCCUGCGAAGUUUCCAAAACACACCAAAAAAAAGGUUGAUUUCUUGCCAAGUGUGUCAGCCUUUGUCCUGAUCGCUGAUUUGAUUGAGGCCGGGGGCCGACUGGAAUUUGCACCUUUCAUGAGUGCUGGAAUCCCGCAGAGGUGAGAUCCCGAGUAUUGUUCCUUCGAAGACCAUGGUGGCGGUCGGGUUGGUGUCGGAUGUGAGCAUUGACAAUGGUGCCCGAUGCACCGAACGCGUCAUUCAUCAGUAUCAUGGAAGCUCUACCGACGGUCUUCACAAAUUCUCGCUUGGAAACACAAGCAGUGCCUUCCCCCCGCUCUCGCACAGCACCACCUUGCCCUUGCAAUGGAGGCCGUUCAUUGAGCCAUCGACCUUCCCUGGCCUUAAUUGUAAGUGACUCUUUGUCAGACUUUCUCUUGUCUUCUUAAAUAAAUAAAAGCAAUCUAUCCUAAGAUUUUAAAUUUAGUUCAGAAAUAAAUCCAAAAAUUUAUU